UACGUAGGGUGCGAGCGUUAAUCGGAAUUACUGGGCGUAAAGCGUGCGCAGGCGGUUCGUGAUGUCUGGUGUGAAAGCCCCGGGCUUAACCUGGGAAUUGCAUUGGAAACUAGCGGGCUGGAGUGUGGCAGAGGGGGGCGGAAUUCCACGUGUAGCAGUGAAAUGCGUAGAGAUGUGGAGGAACACCGAUGGCGAAGGCAGCCCCCUGGGUCAAGACUGACGCUCAUGCACGAAAGCGUGGGGAGCAAACAGG
rnacentral:rRNA from 1 species